rnacentral:rRNA from 1 species
GAUGAACGCUGGCGGCGUGCCUAAUACAUGCAAGUCGAGCGAACAGACGAGGAGCUUGCUCCUCUGACGUUAGCGGCAGACGGGUGAGUAACACGUGGAUAACCUACCUAUAAGACUGGGAUAACUUCGGGAAACCGGAGCUAAUACCGGAUAAUAUAUUGAACCGCAUGGUUCAAUAGUGAAAGACGGUUUUGCUGUCACUUAUAGAUGGAUCCGCGCCGCAUUAGCUAGUUGGUAAGGUAACGGCUUACCAAGGCAACGAUGCGUAGCCGACCUGAGAGGGUGAUCGGCCACACUGGACCUGAGACCCGGUCCAGACUCCUACGGGAGGCAGCAGUAGGGAAUCUUCCGCAAUGGGCGAAAGCUUGACGGAGCAACGCCGCGUGGGUGAUGAAGGUCUUCGGUUCGUAAAACUCUGUUAUUAGGGAAGAACAAAUGUGUAAGUAGCUAUGCACGUCUUGACGGUACCUAAUCAGAAAGCCACGGCUACCUACGU